rnacentral:lncRNA from 1 species
AGGGAACACGCUGGGUCCUGUGAUAUGGAGAUCCUGAAAACAGAUGCCCAGCUCACCGGAAGUUACAGUCUCCACGGGACACCACAGGUGGCAUUGUGGGGAUAGACUGAAACAUCUUGGGGAAUAGUCCCAGGGUCACAAGAACCACCCUGGCACUUUGUUUAAUGCAUCUUUUGAGCCCCUGUGGAGACCCCGUGCUGAGUUCCACAGUGCAGUAUCAAAGGAGAGGAGACACCUUAAUCUGAUACUCUGGGAAGGGGAUCUAGCCUGUAUCAGGAAGCAGAGAGGGAGCCAAUCCAGAUGCUGCAAAGUCCUGGCAGGUGGCCCUCGGGUCCCCACCCAGAAGAAGCCUGGGUGUCACGACUGGACAGAGGAGGGGCACUGUGGAAGCCUUCCAUUUCCCAGAAGCCUCUUCUUGUUUUGUCCCCAGGAAGAGGGCACUCCUGAGCUUUCUCCUGGGACGCAAUCAAGCUACUUGACACAAGCUGGAUCCUUUUGAGGCUUACUUUGAAGUUUUGUUAGAUUCUGAACUCAGAGACUCCAUCCGGCUCCAUCCAUGCUCCGCCUUCCUGCAUCAGCAUCUGGUCACUUUCUCCAGACAGUCAGAGAGGUGAUCUCAGGGCCUACCCCAAGCAUCAUUGUCCUGUCCCACCUGAGGUCCGAAGGCCUUGAAACUGUUGUUAUCAAUUAGGCAUCUUCACCACCUGCCCCAGGGACCCAGCAACAGCAGGAUACAUCAUCACAGCUGCCAAGAUAGGACAUUCCUACUGUCGGCAUGGGUAGCAGAACCUCGACACAUCGUCAGAUAAAGAGCCAGUUCCCCUCUCUCUUGGCUCCCUUUUUCCCUCCACCCUCGCUGUAUACCCUUCCCCUAAUAAGCCUCCCAUGUGAGAUCUG